AUUGAACGCUGGCGGCAGGCCUAACACAUGCAAGUCGGACGGUAGCACAGAGGAGCUUGCUCCUCGGGUGACGAGUGGCGGACGGGUGAGUAAUGUCUGGGGAUCUGCCCGAUAGAGGGGGAUAACCACUGGAAACGGUGGCUAAUACCGCAUAACGUCGCAAGACCAAAGAGGGGGACCUUCGGGCCUCUCACUAUCGGAUGAACCCAGAUGGGAUUAGCUAGUAGGCGGGGUAAUGGCCAACCUAGGCGACGAUCCCUAGCUGGUCUGAGAGGAUGACCAGCCACACUGGAACUGAGACACGGUCCAGACUCCUACGGGAGGCAGCGGUGGGGAAUAUUGCACAAUGGGCGCAAGCCUGAUGCAGCCAUGCCGCGUGUAUGAAGAAGGCCUUCGGGUUGUAAAGUACUUUCAGCGGGGAGGAAGGCGAUAAGGUUAAUAACCUUGUCGAUUGACGUUACCCGCAGAAGAAGCACCGGCUAACUCCGUGCCAGCCGCCGCAGUAA
rnacentral:rRNA from 1 species